rnacentral:tRNA from 1 species
ACCGAAAUAGCUCAGUUGGGAGAGCGUUAGACUAUAGAUCGAAAGACCCUGGUUCGAUCCCGGGAUUCGACA